CAGCCGUAAACUAUGCUCGCUAGGUGUCAGGCAUGGCGCGACCGUGUCUGGUGCCGCAGGGAAGCCGUGAAGCGAGCCACCUGGGAAGUACGGCCGCAAGGCUGAAACUUAAAGGAAUUGGCGGGGGGAGCACAACAACGGGUGGAGCCUGCGGUUUAAUUGGACUCAACGCCGGACAACUCACCGGGGACGACAGCAAUAUGUAGGCCAGGCUGAAGACCCUGCAUGACUAGCUGAGAGGAGGUGCAUGGCGUAGACGUCU
rnacentral:rRNA from 1 species